CCCUUAGAUGUUCUGGGCCGCACGCGCGCUACACUGAUGAAUUCAACGAGCUCCUAACCUAGGCCGAAGGGUCCGGGUAAUCUUUGAAAUUUCAUCGUGAUGGGGAUAGAUUAUUGCAAUUAUUAAUCUUCAACGAGGAAUUCCUAGUAAGCGCGAGUCAUCAGCUCGCGUUGAUUACGUCCCUGCCCUUUGUAUACACCGCCCGUCGCUCCUACCGAUUGAAUGGUCCGGUGAAAUGUUCGGACCGCGACAAGGCGGACGGUUCGCUGUCAGCUUUGCUGCGGGAAGUUCAUUAAACCUUAUCAUUUAGAGGAAGGAGAAGUCGUAACA
rnacentral:rRNA from 1 species